rnacentral:lncRNA from 1 species
CGGUAUCUCCUCCCUAGGCUUGACAGAUACAGCCCUCAAAGCUGAGAGGGAUGGAGAGGAAAGAAGAGCAAAAGCUCUACCUCUGUCCUACUCCAUCAGAGAUUCUGGGACUGGGAAAAUGACUACUGUCACAUUCCUCCAAUCCUCUGAAGACCCCCAGGACCCACGGUAUUGAGAAAAGCUUUGAUGGAGCCGGCUGGUGGAUCUCCACUCCAGAUUUUCCAGCUGUCCCUGUCCCCCCACCGCUCAGAGAGCAGGAUGCUGAGAUGGCUCGGUGAUGCAGAAGGGAAAUCACUGGCACACCAUGAUUGAGAUGCCAAGCCACAGGUUCUGGGACCUCUAUGGUUCCCUCCUUUUACCUCUGAGGACAUAAAAAGGCAGAUUGUCCCAUAUACCAAUGAGGAAAUGUCCGGUUGUCCUCUACG